CCUCGGAGAUUAUGCCCAACACGCAUUGCAGAAUAACGUAAGUUUUGCUAUUUUUCUCGGAGUUGAUUUUAAACUUUAAACCACUCUUCCAAGAUUUUUAAAGGGUUUUAAUAUUUCUGCUGCAGGGUACAAAGGUAAACUUGAUAAUUACUGAUUAUUGUAUGCCGGGAAUGAUUGGAUAUGAUCUGCUUAAAAAAAUUAAGGUAGUGCUAUGCAUGCAUGCAUCCUUUUCCAAAUGAAAAAGUUAAAAUGUAAAUAGAGUAACCAUACCUUGCAUAGAAAAGUAAUUGAUAGCUCAGUUUUAUCAUUGUUUCUACAGGGUGUUUCAUGUACGAAUUGAUGCUGAUUCUUCUGUCUUUUUAUCUGCAGAACAGUAGUCAUCCACCAUGAGAGAGAUACCAGUAGUGAUUGAUAACGUUCCCACAAGAAUCAAAAAACAGUGCUUGGAGGAGGGAGCGCAAGAGUUCAUGAUCAAGCCUCUAAAGCAAUCGGAUGUGAAGAAGUUGAGAUGUCACAUUAUGAAUUUGGGCAACCGGGGAACUCUUUGCACGGGAAGGUAAACGGAGCCCCCCACUUGUUACAGUGAAAGAGAACGUGCACUGGAAGGAUCAGCCAAGGCUACAGGAGAAAAGAAAUCAAACGACACAUCAAAACCUUUUAGCAAGAACAUUACAAUUAGCUUUUGCUCUUCCUCGGUAAAUCUAUUAACUUUCUCAGUAAGAGGGGGCAGAACCCUUCAUGUUGUCGUUGGGCCCAUCUCAUUUAUUAAAAUGGAGGC